AAAAAGAUAAACCGCGGGUUUACGUGCCAACGUUUGACUGUUCGUCUUAUAUGAAAUUUUUUUAUAAUUAGUAUUUUUAUUGUUGUUAGAUGAUAAAAUAUGAUGAAUACUUUAUAUGUGACUUAUUUUUUUAAUUUUUUUCAUAUUUUUUUUUAAAUAAGACGGACAGUCAAACAUUGGACACGGAAAUCAGGGUUUGCCUUUUU
rfam:Oryza nivara chromosome 8, whole genome shotgun sequence.